UUGUUCUCUACACCUUCCCUGCCUGGACCUGUUUCUACAAUGGGAGACUCGUAUAUAAUAGCCAUAGAGUUUGGAACAACAUUCAGUGGAUAUGCUUACAGUAUGACACCCAGAGAGGAAGAGGCUGAUCCCUACAUAAAGUACUGGGGUGAAGAGGUUGGAAAAGAGACACCAAAGACUCCAACCUGCAUUCUGUUCAACGAACAAGAAGAAUUCCUCAAGUUUGGUUAUGAAGCCAAACUGGUUUAUGGUAAAAUGCGGGGUGAGGAAGCCAGAAGGAACUUCUUCUUCAACUGCUUCAAGAUGUCUCUUUAUGGCAAAAAAGCCACCAGUGAUCUGACAAUCAAAGCUGCUAAUGGGAGAUCAAUGAAGGCCUUGAAGGUGUUUACUGAAGCACUGAGAUACUUGAAGGAAGACGCACUGAAAACCAUCUCAGAUCAUACAUCUGGUAGGAGGUUCAUAGCCUCUGACUUCACCUGGGUGUUGACUGUACCUGCAAUCUGGGAUCCUUCAGCAAAACAGUUCAUGAGAAAAGCUGCAACUCAGGCUGGUAUUGUGACCAAAGGAAAGGAGGACAAGUUGGUAAUAGCCCUGGAGCCAGAGGCAGCCUCAGUCUUCUGUAAGACGCUACCAGCUGAAGGUUUCAUAGCAGAAAACCAGGGAGAAGACAAACUUGAUCAGUCUCCUGGAACACAGUACAUCGUUGUCGACUGUGGAGGUACCGUAUGUUUAAUACAAGUGCAGGUUGUAAAAACUAACUCAUGCACACAUGAACAAUUCAACUUUCACCCACACCAACUGUUUUAAGUCCUUGUUUGGUUUACAUGAGGUCCAAAUGUUUGUUCACUUUGAUCACGUUAUUAAAUAACACAUUUAUCUGUAACUAAAUCUAGAUCAUACAUACAAUCUCCCUCCUAGUUAGUUGUCGUCACUGAUGUAUAUGUUAGACACCAAAGCUGUAAUCAACACUGAGAACAUCAGUCUGCAUUUAACUCUGUCAGGAAGUCAGAUUAAGGUAGAAGCUGGAGUACAAAUCAAAUUCUAAAGCAUUAAGUCUGGGAAAGACAGAAACUGCUGGAGAGUCAAGAACUGGUUGGGAGACCUCCCCCAACCUGAAACCCAAAUUCUCCCAACUAAUUCUGAUUACACAUUAAAGUUGCAAGCAGCAGGGAUUGGACCCUCACACAUUGUGCACAUCAGGGGCCUGUUUCAUGAAGCAAGUUUAACAAACUCUGAGUUUAAUCCUCAACUCUGAGUUGAUCUACUCUGAGAUAGAAAACUCUGGAGCCCCGAUUCGACGAGUCACCAUGGAAACGGGGAAGCGAAAGGCUGCGUUUUUGAACUGGAAGUUUUUAACGCGCUCAUAUGGCGAGUUUGAACACGUUUUUAGAAAGAAGUGCAACACCGCUGCAGCUGUAAAAGAGAGAGAGACGGCGUGGAGAACAGCCCGGAUCAAUGCGUAAGUUUAAAUGUAGUCCUUUGUAAUCGUAAUAAUAUUACAGGGAAUAACUGUCUGAAUGGUAGAAUAUGAAGUUAUUUCAUUGAGAGGAAAUCUAACGGGGCAGCAGCUUAAGAUGAAAUAUAAAAACAUUGUUCAAACAGGUCAGACCUCGGCAUUAUCUCAUGGAGGUACUUCAUGUUGAUCAUGUUUUACAUUGUAAAGUAGCCUAAAUAUUAAGUGGCUGUUUGACUGUGCAGUUGUUUUAUCCACACAUAGCCUAAAUGUCUGCAUCCAUAUCAUGUCCUGUUAAAUAAUUAAGACUAUUUAAACUAACAUAGACUUCUGCUCAGCGAACAGAAAGAAAGCAGAUGCCUGUAAAACGGUGGUAUAAAAGGUCAUGGAUGCAUAUGUAUAUAUAUAUAUAUAUAUAUACACCUUGUAAUUGUAAGUAGUCAACACUCCACAGAUUUCUCCAAAUGGUAGUUUAAGUUUACUGAAACAUGUCACUGAUCGAGGAUGAAGAGGAUGAAACUGUGUCUGCUGCCUUUACAGAGGGGGAUCCAGAAAGGCAUACAGAGCUAUGUUACUGAUAGUUCUCUUCUCAUUCACAUUUUGGGUGGAAUAUAGAGUGUGACAUUUAGCCUACACUGAAGUAUUGCACAUUCUCAUCCUUUUAACAGAGCAUGGCUGGACAGCAGCAGGAUGGUUCCUCAGCUUCCACUGCACAGACUGACACAGUGAGAUGGAUGUUCAGGAAACACCAGAGCUUCAUUCUGUGGAAUUCAUGUGCAACUGUAUCAUUUAAUGUCCUCUAUGUAUUCCCAGUUAUCAGUAAAACAGAUUUACAAACUGCAUUUGCUGAUAAAAAUCCAAAAACAGAUUAGGAGGGCAGAUCUGGAAAUUGAAAUACUGGAGCACAAGUUAGAGGUGGUGAUGGUCACAGGUGAAUUAUGUUAACUACUGGAACAUGAACUGAACUAUCUUUUAUUUGUAGGAAAUAAAGAAGAGCAAAUGAAA